GAUAUGACUUAGUGGUUGGAGCACCUGUUUGGCAAGCAUGAGAUCCUGAGUUCAAAUCACAGUAUC
rnacentral:tRNA from 1 species